rnacentral:rRNA from 1 species
GAUGAACGCUGGCGGCGCGCCUAACACAUGCAAGUCGAACGAUUAAAGCACCUUCGGGUGUGUAUAAAGUGGCGAACGGCUGAGUAACACGUGGGCAACCUGCCCCUUUCAUUGGGAUAGCCACGGGAAACCGUGGAUAAUACCGAAUACUUCGAGACUUCCGCAUGGAAGACUCGAGAAAGCUCCGGCGGAGAGGGAUGGGCCCGCGGCCUGUUAGCUUGUUGGUGGGGUAACGGCCUACCAAGGCAAUGAUGGGUAGCUGGGUUGAGAGACCGACCAGCCAGAUUGGGACUGAGACACGGCCCAGACUCCUACGGGAGGCAGCAGUGGGGAAUCUUGCACAAUGGGCGAAAGCCUGAUGCAGCGACGCCGCGUGCGGGAUGAAGGCCUUCGGGUUGUAAACCGCUUUCAGCAGGGACGAGGUGAAAGUGACGGUACCUGCAGAAGAAGCCCCGGCUAACUACGUG